UGAACGCUGGCGGCAUGCCUAACACAUGCAAGUCGAACGGAAACGAUGGGAGCUUGCUCCCAGGCGUCGAGUGGCGGACGGGUGAGUAAUACUUAGGAAUCUGCCCAUUAGUGGGGGACAACUAGAAGAAAUUCUAGCUAAUACCGCAUACGCCCUACGGGGGAAAGCGGGGGAUCUUCGGACCUCGCGCUAAUGGAUGAGCCUAAGUCGGAUUAGCUUGUUGGUGAGGUAAUGGCUCACCAAGGCGACGAUCCGUAGCUGGUCUGAGAGGACGAUCAGCCACACUGGGACUGAGACACGGCCCAGACUCCUACGGGAGGCAGCAGUGGGGAAUAUUGGACAAUGGGCGCAAGCCUGAUCCAGCAAUGCCGCGUGUGUGAAGAAGGCCUGCGGGUUGUAAAGCACUUUCAGUAGAGAAGAAAAGCGUACGGUUAAUAGCCGUAAGUCUUGACGUAACCUACAGAAGAAGCACCGGCUAACUCC
rnacentral:rRNA from 1 species